rnacentral:lncRNA from 1 species
AUCCCUGGAGGGUGGACGGAGAGUCCCCGGCCGCGCGCCGGAGAAUUGCGCGGUGGCUUUCUCAGCCGAAACCCGCGUCUCCGGGGCUGUCACUGUAAGGCCAGCGUCUAGGUGCUGAUCCUGAGAGCCCUCCGCAGUGAACACCCUGCAUGCAGAUCUCCUUCUUGGAACCUGUUCCUGGAAAACCCAGUCUCCAGCAACCUGAUAUGUAACUGCAAAUCUGCAACUCUAGACCAACCUUCUAAAGAGGGAUUUAAGACCUUUUUCAAGAAUCUGGCUUGAUUUUUUGGCCCAUGGUUCUCCCUUUAUUUUACUCAAUGUUCUCAAAACUAAAAUGGCUCUUUAAUUUGAUUUUCGUAAAAUGGAAAUUUGGUAGAUCAUAUUUUAUUUACUAUGUUGUUAAAAUGC